ensembl:lncRNA
CUUAUGAGGCACAAGCUUUCACGCACAUGGUUUCCAGAGAGAUUUUAGCCAAACCCAGCAGUCCCCCUAGUCAUCAGAGCCUCUUGUUGAUUCCCACCUUCAGCAAAAAUCCUUUCGGGCAGAAAGCGCAGCAGGAAACCUGUCAUUAACAACCACCAAAGUGUCACAUCAGCGAUUCUCAGGAGUGUCGGCUCCACUAUUUAACUCAGCUAUUUACCUCAUCGCAAGAGCUUUGUUUGAUUGUCAGAAAAUAGAACACGUACAUUUGUCAGUCAUAAACACACACGAGUUCUCCGGAGCACAAAUAAACAAAAUGAUCAUGUACGUUGGUAAAUGUGUUUGCAUUAUUUAACCAAGCCAGAGGAAGCAUGUGAAUAACCCUGCAUAUCAAGUACCAUCGAGUAACUUGCUUGUAAUCUGUCUUGUACAAUACAGUCAUUGCCACUCAUUCCACUCACCCAAUUCAGAUCCUGGAAAUGUACUAUUUUUAGAACAGCUUUGUACACCACUAUUUACAAAGAGCACUGUUAAAUCCUUUGAAUAGCAGCCAAGAAGUUGGGUGAGAACCUAGAAACCUGCCACACAGAUCAGCAUCCUAAUCAACCCUGGGACAGCCAGCGCUAAAGAUUUGCCUUUGUUUCCUUUCCAUUCUUUCCCUUUGUCUCCACAGGAAUAUCAGUGUAAAAAGGCAAGGAGACAAAGAGGUGGCCUUAUCUGUUCCUGUCCUUCAAAUGAGUUGCUUUACUCACUUUCCUAGAUAACGUGCGUUUGUCAACAUCUUUGGUGAUUUAAGCUGUUCUCUGUCAAAACCACUUUUGGAAAAGAUUUGACCACUGACUUACUUGAGAGCCAAAGUGACGGCAGCAGAAAGCAAUUUUACAAAAAGAAAAAGAAAAUGGAGAACAGACUUCCAACAACACACGUCUUUUCUGCUUUCUCCUUGGCUCUGAAAGAGGACGCAUGAAACAGAAUUUCAGGCUGUAAUUAAUGCAGCUCUUCAUAAGAUAAGAGGUUCUUUUAUCUGUUAAAAAAUUGCUGUACUAAUUUUCAAGAAUCAGAAUGUUCCAGUUAAUGCUCUUCCUACAAGAAGAAUUCACCUUUUCUACUCUACCUAUUUGCAGUCAAAUUUUCAUAUUUUUUAAAGGAAAUUGGACAUGGGUAAACAUGCAAUGAUAGCAAUAUUAUUUCAUAGGACUGAGUCUAGAAAACUUAAAUAUUAACAAUAUGCUUAGAUAAAUCCUGAAUAGGUGUUGCACAG